rnacentral:rRNA from 1 species
UACGUAGGGGGCAAGCGUUGUCCGGAUUCAUUGGGCGUAAAGAGCGUGUAGGCGGCCAGGUAGGUCGGUUGUGAAAACUGGAGGCUCAACCUUCAGACGUCGACCGAAACCAUCUGGCUAGAGUCCGGGAGAGGAGAGUGGAAUUCCUGGUGUAGCGGUGAAAUGCGCAGAUAUCAGGAGGAACACCGGUGGCGAAGGCGGAUCUCUGGGCCUGUUCUGACGCUGAGGCGCGAAAGCUAGGGGAGCGAACAGG